AACGCACAUUGCGCCCCCUGGUAUUCCGGGGGGCAUGCCUGUUCGAGCGUCAUUUCAACCAAUCCAGCCCGGCUGGGUGUUGGGCGUCGCGGUCCCCCGCGCGCCUCAAAGUCCUCGGCGGAAGCCGCCCGUACCUCUGCGUGAUGAUACAUCUUCGCUCGGGAGACGGGGGCGAGCGCCCGUACGCGUCGGCGGAGACGUCGAUUUUCAGGUUGACCUCGGAUCAGGUAGGGGUACCCGCUGAACUUAA
rnacentral:misc_RNA from 1 species